ACUCAAUUCCAAAUUGCUUGGGAAGCAUGGCUAAGCUAACGGUGUUGGACUUGAGAAGGAACAAUUUCAGUGGGAGUCUUCCACUGUUAUGUACUCAAAGCACUUCAUUGAUGACCAUUGUCUUGAAUGGUAAUCAAUUCGAAGGAUCUGUCCCUGCGUCAUUACACAACUGUGUUGGUUUAAAAGUUCUUGAUUUGGGGAACAACGCUAUAAAUGACACAUUUCCAGCUUGGCUUGGAACUCUUGAAGAGCUGCAAGUCCUUAUAUUAAAGUCGAACAAGUUCCAUGGACCUAUAAGUGCUAGGAAGAAGUUUUGCUUUCCCAGGUUGCGGAUUUUUGAUCUCUCUCAUAAUGCAUUCAAUGGUUCACUGCCUGCAGAUAUUUUUAGAAACUUCAAGGCAAUGAUAAAAAAUGGCACAGACAAAGGUAACAUUACAUAUAUGGAAACAUCAGUUUUCAGGUCAUUGGUUGAUUCAUCGAUCAAAGACUGGACUAUGUAUAAGCUAGAAUUGGCCAUUGAUGAAGUGUACAAGGAUUCAGUGAGGUUGAUGAUCAAAGGAAACAAUAUUGAGCUAGAAAGAAUCAGCACAAUUGUUACAGCCAUAGAUCUCUCAAGCAACCAUUUUGAAGGUGACAUUCCGAAAUCACUAAAGGAUCUCAGCUCACUUUGGCUACUCAAUUUAUCCCACAAUAAUCUCAAAGGUGAUAUUCCAAUGGAAUUGGGGCAAUUGAAUUCACUUGAAGCCUUAGAUCUCUCUUGGAAUCGGCUCACUGGAAAGAUUCCACAGGAAUUGACAAGAAUGAACUUUCUGGCGUUCUUAAACCUCUCUCAAAACCAGCUCGUUGGACGCAUUCCUCAAGGUUCACAAUUCAGCACAUUUGAAAAUGACUCGUAUGGUGGCAACCUUGAUUUAUGUGGUCCUCCUUUGUCAAAGCAAUGUGGAACGAGUGAUCGCUCACAUGUUCCUCAAUCACUGGAGGAUGAAGCAGAAGAAGAUGAGUCAUAUUUCUUCAGUGGAUUUACGUGGGAAUCAGUAGUCAUAGGCUACAGUUUUGGACUAGUUGUUGGAACUGUCAUGUGGAGUCUCAUGUUUAAAUAUCGUAAGCCAAAAUGGUUUGUGGAAUUUUUUGAAGGCAUUUAUCCCAAGAAAAUGAGAAAUAGGCUACAGUUUUGGACUAGUUGUUGGAACUGUCAUGUGGAGCCUCAUGUUUAAUUAUCGUAAGCCAAAAUGGUUUGUCGAAUUUUUUGACGGCAUCAUGCCCCACAAAAGGAGAAGGCCAAAGAAGAGAAGGCUGAGACGGCAGACAUAAUGGAAGAUUGAAAGAUUGAACUUUUCUGUUUCUGUUUUUUCUGUUUGUUGUUUGUAUAUUCUUCAUACAAACUUAACUGUAUGUGUUUUUUUUUAAAUUAAUGUAUCUUUUUCGGAGACUUGUUUGUGGUGGAAGGAUCUAAGCAUUGUUAGUAAAUUUCCCAAAACUUAGUUCGAAAUUGAAGUUGAUCCAUUCAAAACACACGAUCUCUUAUUUAGAAAAAAAGAAAAAUUGUAUGGUUCUUUUGAGUAACUGUUAUGCAGAUUGAUUCCACUAUUUUCGUGGCUUGGUUAAUAUUGUUACAAUGAACGAACUCAUAGAUGCUACUAUAGCAGAAAUGCCAUCUGGAUGCUAAACAUUGCACCUCGAUUAUUUCACCGGUACCUGCUGUGGGACACUAGGUAGGACACGUGUGUCUAUUUGUUCAGCUUUAUAAAAAUGUAAGUGUCUACUUGUGUAUAAUCAAAGUUGAAGGACAUAAAUAUAUUACGUUUGUAUAUUAUGCCAUAAACAUAAAUUGCACGUCAAAUAAGAAGAAUAAAAAAACAUUGUAUUAUUGGGAAAAAAGUUGAGAAUUUAGGCCAUGGAUAAGAUCUUUGACCAAAAAGACAAAAUACCAAAAAAAAAAUGUAAAAGUAAAGUGACAUUUUAUGAAAGGAAAAAGCAUAUGAAAGUCUUUGUUAUAUAUUUUUUUGGUGAAAAGUAAAAGGACAUUUAGGUCUUCCACUUUGAUGUUCUUUUUUUUAUAUAUAUGAAUAUGAAUAUGAUGAUUGAUUUGCAAGAAGAGAACAUCCUGCUAUUUGUUGAAUACAAACAAACAAAUGGGAUGUUUCCUUUUCUUUUCUUCAUUUCUCUGUUUUGUGUUGCUAAUAAGUGGAUGUUUUUCUUCAUCCAUUGAUCAUCAUCUUUGCUCUCCCACUGAAGCUUCUGCUUUGCUUCAGUUUAAGCAACCCUUUGAGAUUACAUCCGAGUACUCUUGUCAUUUCCGAGGACAAGCUUCUUUCCCGAAAACAAAGUCUUGGAAUGAGAGUAGGGAUUGUUGUACUUGGGACGGAGUCACUUGUGACAUGUUAAACGGUCAUGUUAUUGGGUUGGACCUUAGUUGCAGUCUGCUAAAAGGAACUAUUCAUCCGAAAAGCAGCCUCUUCCAACUUCUUUAUCUUCAAACACUAAACCUUGCUUACAAUAACUUUUCAACUUCUUCAAUCCCACAUAACAUUGGCCGAUUGACAAAUUUGAGGAAUCUCAACCUUUCUUAUUCUUACUUUGAUGGGAAAAUCCCAACAGAAAUCUCAUUGCUUUCCAAUUUAGUUUCACUUGAUCUUUCUCCUCCUUAUAAGUAUGGAUUACAACUUGAUCAGAGAACAUUUGAGGCAAUGCUUCACAACUUGACAAAUCUGGAGGUACUAUCUCUCUCUUUUGUCAACAUCUCAUCUCCGAUACCUGUGAAUAUUUCUUCCUCCUUAAGGUACAUGGAUCUUGAAUAUACUAAUCUGCGAGGUGUUCUCACAGAGAACUUUUUUCUUAUGCCAAACUUGGAAAGGCUUAAAUUGGGUUUCAAUGCUCUUCUCAAAGGAGUUUUACCAAAGAUCCACCCGAGCAGUACUCUGUUGGAGUUGGAUAUUUCAUACACAGGAAUCUCCGGUGAGCUGCCUGAUUCAAUUGGCACCUUGAGUUCUUUGAAUAUCUUGUACUUCCGUGGAUGUGAAUUUUCUGGUCACAUUCCUGAUUCCAUUGGCAAUCUUACACAAAUUCGGGAGUUGAUUUUAUCUGAUAAUCGUUUCACUGGCCACAUUCCUUCCACAAUCUCUAAAUUGAAGCACCUCACACAUUUAGUUCUUGAGUCCAAUUCCUUUUCAGGUGAAAUUCCAGAUGUUUUCUCUAACCUCCAAGAGCUACGUUAUUUACAUCUUUAUAGUAACAGCUUCAUUGGUUCGUUUCCUUCUACAAUUUUAAACUUGAUACAUCUUCAAUACUUAGACUUGUCGAGUAAUUCCCUAUCUGGCUCACUGCCCAGCAAUGCAAGCAUGUUUCCAAAGCUAACCGAGCUGGAUUUGUCAUACAACUCACUGAAUGGUACCAUACCAUCUUGGGUGCUUAGCCUCCCUUUGCUAACAUCACUGUCGCUCCAAAAUAAUCAAUUUAGUGGACUAGCCGAUGAGCUCAAAAAUAACCCAACAUUAGAAUACCUGUUUUUAAGCAAUAAUCAACUCAGUAGUUCUUUUCCUCAAUCUCUUGCGAAUCUCACAAACCUUUUUACCCUUGACAUUUCAUCAAAUAACAUCACGGGUGAUGCGGGAAUAAAUAUCACCUUUCCUAGCCUAGAAAAAGUGUUCUUAUCAUCUUGUGAAUUGAGGGAUUUUCCACACUUCUUGAGAAAUGUAAACACACUUCAGGUCUUGGAUAUUUCUAACAAUAAGAUUCGUGGUCAAAUCCCUAACUGGUUUAGCAGCAUGAGGUGGAACUCGUUGCAGUUCUUAAACCUUUCUCAUAAUUCAUUAACAGGCCAUCUACCACAAUUUCAUUAUUAUAGUCUAAAGUAUCUUGAUCUUAAAUUUAACUUCCUUCGGGGGUCACUACCUUUAUCCAUUUGUAACAUGAAUAGCCUUAGCCUUCUGGAUUUAUCACACAACAACUUCAGUGGCUCUGUUCCACAUUGCUUCGGCAGCAUGGUUGAGCUAUCUGUGUUAGACUUUAGAAGAAAUAACUUCACAGGGAGUCUUCCACCAUUUUGUGCACAGACCGAUUCAUUGAAAACCAUCGUCUUGAAUGGUAAUCUAUUGAAAGGACCUGUCCCUGUGUCGUUGCUCAACUGUGUUGGUUUAGAAGUUCUUGAUUUGGGGAAUAACGCUAUAAAUGACAUAUUUCCAGCUUGG
rnacentral:lncRNA from 1 species